UACGGAGGGUGCAAGCGUUAAUCGGAAUUACUGGGCGUAAAGCGCGCGUAGGCGGCUUGGUCAGUGAGGUGUGAAAGCCCCGGGCUUAACCUGGGAACUGCAUCUCAUACUGCCAGGCUUGAGUGCAAGAGAGGAGGGUAGAAUUCCUGGUGUAGCGGUGAAAUGCGUAGAUAUCAGGAGGAAUACCAGUGGCGAAGGCGGCCCUCUGGCUUGACACUGACGCUGAGGUGCGAAAGCGUGGGUAGCGAACAGG
rnacentral:rRNA from 1 species